GAUAUGGCUCAGGAUGAACGCUAGCUACAGGCUUAACACAUGCAAGUCGAGGGGCAUCAUGGGAUUGGUUCGGCCGAUCCUGAUGGCGACCGGCGGAUGGGUGAGUAACGCGUAUCCAACCUGGCCCCCUGUCCCGCGGACAGCCCUUAGAAAUGAGGAUUAACCCGCGAUGUUGCCCGGAUUGCCGCAUGGUGAUUGGGUGAAAUUUUUAAGGACGGGGAUGGGGAUGCGUUCCAUUAGCUUGCAGGCGGGGUGACGGCCCACCUGGGCGACGAUGGAUAGGGGGUUCUGAGAGGAAGGUCCCCCACACUGGAACUGAGACACGGUCCAGACUCCUACGGGAGGCAGCAGUGAGGAAUAUUGGUCAAUGGGCGCGAGCCUGAACCAGCCAAAAGUAGCGGUGCGGGAUGAAGGCCCUACGGGUUGUAAACCGCUUUUGUCCGGGGAUAACGUGCGCCACGUGUGGUGUAUUGCAGGUACCGGGCGAAUAAUGACCGGCUAAUUCCGUGCCAGCCGCCGC
rnacentral:rRNA from 1 species